rnacentral:rRNA from 1 species
GACGAACGCUGGCGGCGUGCUUAACACAUGCAAGUCGAACGGAAAGGCCCUGCUUUUGUGGGGUGCUCGAGUGGCGUACGGGUGAGUAACACGUGAGUAACCUGCCCUUGACUUUGGGAUAACUUCAGGAAACUGGGGCUAAUACCGGAUAGGAGCUCCUGCUGCAUGGUGGGGGUUGGAAAGUUUCGGCGGUUGGGGAUGGACUCGCGGCUUAUCAGCUUGUUGGUGGGGUAGUGGCUUACCAAGGCUUUGACGGGUAGCCGGCCUGAGAGGGUGACCGGCCACAUUGGGACUGAGAUACGGCCCAGACUCCUACGGGAGGCAGCAGUGGGGAAUAUUGCACAAUGGGCGGAAGCCUGAUGCAGCAACGCCGCGUGCGGGAUGACGGCCUUCGGGUUGAAAACCGCUUUCGCCUGUGACGAAGCGUGAGUGACGGUAAUGGGUAAAGAAGCACCGGCUAACUACGUG